GUAAAUUAAACUGAUGUUGCUCUAUGUUCUGUUCAAGUUUCAGACAGAUACUCUCAAACUCAAAGCAAGAGAAAUCGCAGAUUUGGUUUAGAGAUUGCAGAGAUGGACCAGACCAGAAGACCAGCUGUGUGGAUCGUAGGGGACAGCUACAUCCGGCGCGCGUCUGAGAGGGCAAGGGUAAGUAUCGGGAAGAACUUAGACCUGCCGGUCGAUAUAACAUGGUUUGGAGUUGGAGGCCUGCGAUGGGGAUCCUUUGUGUCUAGGUUGGACUCCCUGUUGCGCUCCAGACCUGCCCCAGAUGUGUUAGUCGUGCAUGUUGGAGGUAAUGAUCUAGGAAAGGUAAAAGGGACUAGAUUGGCUAGCAUGAUGAAAUGGAACUUAGGUCAGGUGCAUGAGAACUACCCCAACCUUAAGUUAGUGUUCUCUUGCAUUACAGAAAGGCGCGUGUGGAGGUGUGGGCGUCCCUACCAGCUUAAUCAUCAGCGUGCCUUUCUGAAUAAUGUCAUGUCCGCAUUUAUGGGGUCGUUAGGAGGAGUUUCAAUUCGGCACCCCGAAAUUAAGCACAAUUGGGAGGGGAUGUUUUUAGCUGACGGGGUCCACCUGACGGACAUGGGACAUGACAUAUUUAACAGAAACCUCCAGGGGGUCAUCAGAAUGGUAUGUGAUGUAUAGAUGAGAAAUAAUGAUUCUGCAUUUUUCUCGACUGUGGUGGGAGUGUGGGAAGGGGAUUUUAAUAUUCGUCCCCUUACUGCGCUCCCACUGCAGCCUUCCACAGGUCUGCCUACACCACUUUCCUGUGGCAAGUUAAGUAUUACCCCUCAUGAUGUUUUUAUUUUAUUUUUAUUUGAUUAAAUGGUACAUAGUGUUAUGUACACAAGUAUAGCACCAUAAACUGUGUUGUAAUGGUACAUGCACUUAUGUUAUGUUACUUUUUUUUUCAUGCACAACACCACAGGACCGAGCCACCCUGACGCCAUAGACGACGACACAGGAACGAGCCACCCAGACGCCAUAGACGACGCCACAGGGCCGAGCUACCAAGAUGCCAUAGACGACACCGAGGGAGGUACCGAGCCAGCCUCCGAGCCACCAAGAUGCCAUAGACGACACCACAGGAACGAGCCACCCUGACGCCAUAGACGACACCACAGGAUCACGCCACCAAGAUGCCAUAAAUGGGCCGAGCCACCCUGACGCCAUAGACGACGCCACAGGGCCGAGCCACCAAGAUGCCAUAGACGACACCGAGGGAGGUACCGAGCCAGCCUCCGAGCCACCAAGAUGCCAUAGACGACACCACAGGAACGAGCCACCCUGACGCCAUAGACGACACCACAGGAUCACGCCACCAAGAUGCCAUAAAUGGACCGAGCCACCAAGAUGCCAUAGACGACGCCACAGGACCGAGCCACCCUGAUGCCAUAGACAACGCCACAGGAUCACGGCACCAAGAUGCCAUAGACGACGCCACAGGGCCAAGGCACCAAGAUGCCAUAGACGACACCGAGGGAGAUACCGAGCCAGCCUCCUGCGAUCUAUGAUACGCUGAAAAUGUACACAGCACCAGCACUCAAGUGGGCUCUUCAUCCAGGAACUGGGCCAACAUUGAUGCUGCUGUAGGCGUCACCUGCUGCCGAUGACCAUCUUCACAACAUUGCAAUUUUGAAACUCUCAAUAAAUAAUAAAGUGUAACGACCCACAA